rnacentral:rRNA from 1 species
GACGAACGCUGGCGGCGUGCUUAACACAUGCAAGUCGAGCGGAAAGGCCCUUUCGGGGGUACUCGAGCGGCGAACGGGUGAGUAACACGUGAGUAAUCUGCCCCGGACUUCGGGAUAGCCACCGGAAACGGUGAUUAAUACCGGAUACGACCUGCCCUCGCAUGAGGGGUGGGUGGAAAGUUUUUUCGGUUCGGGAUGUGCUCGCGGCCUAUUCGCUUGGUGGUGGGGUAAUGGCCUACCAAGGCUUGGACGGGUAGCCGGCCUGAGAGGGUGACCGGCCACGCUGGGACUGAGACACGGCCCAGACUCCUACGGGAGGCAGCAGUGGGGAAUAUUGGACAAUGGGCGGAAGCCUGAUCCAGCAACGCCGCGUGAGGGAUGACGGCCUUCGGGUUGUAAACCUCUUUCAGCACCGACGAAGCUCCACUUUUUGGUGGUUUGACGGUAGGUGCAGAAGAAGGACCGGCCAACUACGUGCCAGCAGCCGCAGUAACAC